UACGUAGGUGGCAAGCGUUGUUCGGAAUUAUUGGGCGUAAAGGGCGCGUAGGCGGUUUGUUAAGUCGGCUGUGAAAGCCCGGGGCUCAACCCCGGAGGGUCAGCCGAUACUGGCAGUCUAGAGUACGGAAGAGGUAGCUGGAAUUCCCGGUGUAGCGGUGAAAUGCGUAGAUAUCGUAAGGAAGACCAGUGGCGAAGGCGGGUCUCUGGACAGUUCCUGACGCUGAGGCACGAAGGCCAGGGGAGCAAACGGG
rnacentral:rRNA from 1 species